AUCGAUUUUAUACCAUCAGUCUGUACAUAUUUUCGUAUAAGUAGAAUAUUGUUAAAAUUAAAAUUAUAUAUUAUGCGGAUAUAAAUAUUUUUGCAACGAACGAACCUGCUGAGGUUCGGACUCAGAUAAUUGAUGAGGAGUGAUGAUGGUUGGACGAGCAGGGAGGCGAACGAAACCACUAAUAUCAUGAGAUAGAAGGGGUUGAGGGAACAAGAGAAAGCAUAAUAAGCUGCAGCAAGUAGUAAAGGAUAGCUUCUUGAACGUAGUGAUGGAGGAAGAACAGCCAUUUUUGUUAUAUAAUGGGAUUGCGGAAACAGAGGACGAGAAAGAAUACAUUUAAUUAAAAUAACAAUUUGUAUGGGUUGACUAUAUGGAAGGGAGGUUGUGUUUCAAUGGCUUAAGGCAAGAUCCGUGUAAAGAUUAACUGUAUUAUGUUAUUAGGUAGUACCACAUGACGAUGGAAUCAUGGAAUCAA